rnacentral:rRNA from 1 species
GCAGGCUGCAACUCGCCUGCAUGAAGUCGGAAUUGCUAGUAAUCGCGGAUCAGCAUGCCGCGGUGAAUACGUUCCCGGGCCUUGUACACACCGCCCGUCACACCAUGAGAGCCGGUAACACCCGAAGUCAGAAGCCUAACCGCAAGGAGGGCGCUGCCGAAGGUGGGUUCGAUAAUUGGGGUGAAGUCGUAACAAGGUAGC